rnacentral:rRNA from 1 species
AUUGAACGCUGGCGGCAGGCUUAACACAUGCAAGUCGAGCGAGCGGCGGACGGGUGAGUAAUGUCUGGGAAACUGCAUGAUGGAGGGGGAUAACUACUGGAAACGGUAGCUAAUACCGCAUACCAUCAGAUGUGCCCAGAUGGGAUUGGCUAGUAGGUGGGGUAAUGGCGAACCUAGGCGACGAUCCGUAGCUGGUUGAAGAGGAUGACCAGCUCAACUGGAACUGAGACACGGUCCAGACUCCUACGGGGGGCAGAAGUGGGGAAUAUUGCACAAUGGGCGCAAGCCUGAUGCAGCCAUGCCGCGUGUGUGAAGAAGGCCUUCGGUUUGUAAAGCACUUUCAGCGAGGAGGCGUUACUCGCAGAAGAAGCACCGGCUAACUCCGUGCCAGCAGCCGCGGUAAUUC